GGCAGUGGGCUGGUAGCUACACAUGCAGUCGAACGGCAGCACAGAGGAGCUUGCUCCUUGGGUGGCGAGUGGCGGACGGGUGAGGAAUACAUCGGAAUCUACUUUUUCGUGGGGGAUAACGUAGGGAAACUUACGCUAAUACCGCAUACGACCUACGGGUGAAAGCAGGGGACCUUCGGGCCUUGCGCGAUUGAAUGAGCCGAUGUCGGAUUAGCUAGUUGGCGGGGUAAAGGCCCACCAAGGCGACGAUCCGUAGCUGGUCUGAGAGGAUGAUCAGCCACACUGGAACUGAGACACGGUCCAGACUCCUACGGGAGGCAGCAGUGGGGAAUAUUGGACAAUGGGCGCAAGCCUGAUCCAGCCAUACCGCGUGGGUGAAGAAGGCCUUCGGGUUGUAAAGCCCUUUUGUUGGGAAAGAAAUCCAGCCGGCUUAUACCUGGUUGGGAUGACGGUACCCAAAGAAUAAGCACCGGCUAACUUCGUGCCAGCAGCCGCGGUAAUACUAAGGGUGCAAGCGUU
rnacentral:rRNA from 1 species